CCAACUUAACCACAUUAGUUAAGUUGGACACUUAGUUGAGGUUCUGGUCCUAUACCUGAAAGGGCUGCUCGUUUUUUGCCUAGUUGAUCAGGCUGUUCAUUUCCUUCUGUACCUUCAUGUCUGGCAUCUCAUUGCUGUGUUUUCCUAGAGUCAUUAGUCAAUUUAAGCACUCCCAGAUAAGUUCAGAAUUGAAAGAAUACUCAUUUAUAGUGCUUUUAUAGCUGCCUUACUGUAUGAGAGUAAACCUGUGCCCGUUACAUAUGUCUCUUUACCUCCUGUGCACAGAGUUGUAUUUCAUGGGCCUCAGGUUGGAAUAUUCUUGGGUUUAGUCUUUACUAGACCUUUACUAGUAUACUGUUCGGCCCUUUUACCCCGAAGCCUACUCCCUGUUCUUCGAUCCAUCUGUAUACCAUUGUUUACCAGGAAAAUUAUAAUUUACAUUUUCAUAAUUAUUAUGGCUUUCGAGGGUUUGUGAUUAUGGCCUAUCUCUGUUUUGGCCGGGACGACCUUUGGGCCGGGCAUUUAUUGGGGCAGGAGAAGGGCCGCAGGCUCGCUAGUAGGCAUUCAGGUCUUGACCACGCCAAUAUCUCCGUAUCGUUUUUUCUCUUUCUCUCGACUCUUGGGAUUUCUAACGUCAUCAUCCCUCGACACUUGUCCCUGGCUUCAAGGACGAUUUACCAGCAGGAGCGGGUGCGGAUUCGGGCAUGAACUCCAACAUCCAGCCCAGCGCUGUCGAGCAGUAGCCAGAAGUUCACAUUUUUCCGUAUUGGCCGUAACAACCAUGUUAGCGCCCCUUCAUGAAACUUGGGGCUACCUUUCUUCCAAAAGUUUUUAUUAUAGAUGACCUUUUCGAAAGGAAUUUGGUGCUGGCUCGUCCUUAGAUCUGGCUUUCCUUGUAUCUCAGGAGUCUGUUGGCACUCUCAAAAGCAACAUUUUGUACUUAUGUAAGAUGGAAGGUAGAGUGAGGUUUCAACUUAAGAAAAACCACCACGGUCUUUCAAAAAUAUAGAUAAACAUGAAAGUACUCCAUGACACGAAAGAGAAUCCUUGAAAAACUAGAAAUACACAAGCACAAUUCUGCAAUUUACAUACAUCAUUUAAACCACUUAAAACGGAAGAGAAUCGAUUAUCAAAAUGACAGGCUGACAAAACAAAAAUCCGGACUUCGUCAUAAACGACGACGAACGUAAAACCGACCCACUCCAUUCGUCUAGAACGGAGUAAACACAAAACAAUUAAACCACCACUGAUGAUGGGGUCAAAACGCGUUUGACAGAUCAAAACAGACGAAAUGAUCGAAAACGACUAUGUUUCAAGUUCAUCACCACCCUCAAUAAGAAAUCACACAUACCUCUAAAACGUAUAAUUAGUGUCAUAAGAGCCGAAAGUGAUUCAUUUAGAACCAUAAAUAAUAAAUAGGAAUGCAGAGAAAAAUAAAUCGGACGUUAUGUGGAGAAGCCGAAAAGAUCGGAGGAAGCUUCGAGUUCAUAUCCCUCAGGAAGAAAUCUCACUUCUAAACAUAUAAUUAGCGUCAUCACAUGCCAGAAGUCAAGGGCCAUCCAGGAGGGACCACCCGAAUUGUUCUCGCUUUGAAUCAUUCAGGCUGAAAAGAAAUCUUGGUGGGCGGUAUUAAUUGCGUUCCGGAAGUUGGACUCGAUCGGUUGCCCUUGUCCUGUUUAUCGUGAGUAAAACAAUUAUCAUGUCCGAUACGAGCUUUCUGAAUAUUGUGACUACAUUCGCCCAUCUAAAGCAGUCUAUUAAUAAACAUGCCGAUCGAGCGUGCGACCAGUCACGUUUCGGGACUCAAGUUAUGUCGGUAAAGUACCUGAACAACUGACAUAGGAGAUCAAUAACGGCUCGAUUCCAUUCAGGCUGAGAUUUUUAAAAUUGUCCAUCCCUGGUGAUGUUGUGAACGGCGGAACAAAUAACAGCUGAAGAGCUUCAAUGUUCGUGUGAUGAACAUUCC
rnacentral:lncRNA from 1 species